rnacentral:rRNA from 1 species
CCUACGGGUGGCAGCAGUCGAGAAUCAUUCACAAUGGGGGAAACCCUGAUGGUGCGACGCCGCGUGGGGGAAUGAAGGUCUUCGGAUUGUAAACCCCUGUUAUGUGGGAGCAAAUUAAAAAGAUAGUACCACAAGAGGAAGAGACGGCUAACUCUGUGCCAGCAGCCGCGGUAAUACAGAGGUCUCAAGCGUUGUUCGGAAUCACUGGGCGUAAGGCGUGCGUAGGCGGGUUGGUAAGUCGUGUGUGAAAGGCGCGGGCUCAACCCGCGGACGGCACAUGAUACUGCGAGACUAGAGUAAAGGAGAGGGAGGCGGAAUGCGCGGUGUAGCAGUGAAAUGCGUAGAUAUCGAGAGGAACACUCGUGGCGAAGGCAGGUUCCUGGACAUUAACUGACGCUGAGGCACGAAGGCCAGGGGAGCGAAAGGGAUUAGAUACCCCAGUAGUC